rfam:Streptomyces rubrolavendulae strain MJM4426, complete genome.
CGCCCGGACCGGAUCCCGUGGGGGGAAUCCGAACCCGGGGUAUGGAAAGCGCCCCGCUCGCCGAC